rnacentral:rRNA from 1 species
UACAGAGGGGGCAAGCGUUGUUCGGAAUUACUGGGCGUAAAGGGCGCGUAGGUGGCCUUCUAAGUUGAACGUGAAAUCCCUGGGCUCAACCCAGGAACUGCGUCCAAGACUGGGAGGCUUGAAUCCGGGAGAGGGAUGCGGAAUUCCAGGUGUAGCAGUGAAAUGCGUAGAUAUGUGGAGGAAUACCGAUGGCGAAGGCAGCCCCCUGGGAUAACACUGACGCUCAUGCACGAAAGCGUGGGGAGCAAACAGG